rnacentral:misc_RNA from 1 species
GAUGAAGAACGCAGGGAAAUGCGAUAAGUAAUGUGAAUUGCAGAAUUCAGUGAAUCAUCGAAUCUUUGAACGCACCUUGCGCCCUUUGGCCAUUCCGAAGGGCAUGCCUGUUUGAGUAUCAUGAACACCUCAACUCUUUAUGGUUUUCCAUGAUGAGCUUGGACUCUGGGGGUUUUGCUGGCUCACAGUCGGCUCCUCUAAAAUGAAUCAGCUUACCAGUGUUUGGUGGGUAUCAUGGGUGUGAUAACUAUCUACGCUUGUGGUUUUUCCACCAGGUAACCUUCAGCAGUGGAGGUUCGCUGGAGCUCAUAGAUGUCUCUCCUCAGUGAGGACAGCCCUUUGAAUGUUUGAUCUCAAAUCAGGUAGGACUACCCGCUGAACUUAAGCAUAUCAAUAAGCGGAGGA